rnacentral:RNase_P_RNA from 1 species
CCAGAGGAUCGGGCGACCGCGGCGUGUUUCGGCACGGCGAGGAAAGUCCGGGCUCCACGAAAUAACGGUGCCAGCUAACGGCUGGCGGGGGCGACCCCAGGGACAGUGCAACAGAGAGCAGGUCGCCCAGAGGCAACUCUAAGGCUUCGGCCAGGCGAAGGUGAAAGGGUGCGGUAAGAGCGCACCGCGUCCCCGGCAACGGCGGACGGCACGGUAAACCCCACCGGGAGCAAGACCGAAUAGGGGCGGCGCGCUCCGCGCAAGCGGGGCAGGCAGUUUUCGACCGGGACCGCCCGGGUUGGUUGCUGGAGGCCGGGAGCGAUCCCGGUCCUAGAGGAAUGGUCGCCCAUCCGUGCCGCAGGGCGCGGUGGACAGAACCCGGCUUACAGAUCCUCUGGCAUU